GAUGCACACAGUUGGCUCUGCUAGCUGAGCAGGGUGAAGCCGGCACCAGGACACCAUUGACUAAGGGCCAUGGAGACCCAAGAGGCAGCUGUUGUAGGAGAGGGCCAGGGCCAGAAGCAGGGCUCAAUCACCAUCGACACGGUUUCCAGUUCUCCACUUCCUCCCAGUUCCUUGAUGUGUCAAUCCAGAUAUCUGGCAUAUGCAACUUCCUCCUGGUGAACACCUCCAUAUGGAACAUCCAGAUACAACCUUCUUGACUCAUCCCACUGACUCACCCCACAUGGACCGUGCAGAUAUGCCACAGUAGCCACCUCUCAGUCACAGCAUGACUUCUGGAACUUGUGCCUGCUUGCUUCAAACCCACCGAUUAAAACUUCCUGCAGGAAAUCUGUAUAGAGAAUGCCCUAGACUCCAAUAAAGGCAAGGGUCCUUCUGUCUCUCUCCCUCACAUGCUCCCUGACUUCUGUGUGUGUGGCCUCUGGGCAUGCCGUGUACCCUCAGGACCUGUAAGUAAUAAAAUCUUUAUUUCCA